rnacentral:rRNA from 1 species
ACGCUCGACACCUACGGGAGACAGCAGUUGGGAAUAUUGGACAAUGGAGGAAACUCUGAUCCAGUGACGCCGCGUGAAGGAAGAAGGUCUUCGGAUUGUAAACUUAUUUUGUCAGGGAAGAAAAAAUGACUGUACCUGAAGAAAAAGCACCGGCUAACUACGUGCCAGCAGCAGCGGUAAUCUGAGCGGGCUGGCAAGGC